GGGGAUAGAGGUCAGUGGUAGAGCACAUGCUUAGCAUGUGUGAGGUCCUGGGUUCAAUCCCCAGUACUGCCA
rnacentral:tRNA from 1 species